CUCAUGGGGAGCAUGUCCUGACUCUGCCGGGGUCACCGGUGGCUCUGUGGAUGAUGUCCUCACCGGGUGUGUGUGCUUAUUGUGAGCAUGUCCUGACUCUGCUGGGGUCGCCGAAGGCUCUGUGAGUGAUGUCCUCGCCGGGUGUGUGCCCUCAUCCCAAUGGUUGGGGGACAUGAGGCUGGUUCAGGGGGAGGUUUGGGAACAAGGGGAGUUGGGGAGCAGGCGCCGCGCCAGGUGGGAGGUGGAGCCUAGCACGGCAGUGCUGCUGAACACCAGCUACAGUUCCAGAGGCCAGGAGCAGGGCAGGGAGCAGGGCAGGGGGCAGGGCAGGGGGCAGGGAGCAAGGCCGGGAGCAGGGCAGGGGGCAGACCAGGGGGCAAGGCCGGGAGCAGGGCCGGGAGCAGGGCCGGUGUCCGGCAUUAAGUGGCAAACAUGCUCACGGGAAGUGUAGCUCUGGGCACAGGACUCACAGCCAGUAAAUGAGCCAAAUCCCUCAUUUACACCAUUCACAAAACUGGAUCCCACUGAGGUUAAAGCUCUAAGCAGAGAAACAAGAAUUCCAACGUGACGGGAGAAAGAAGAGUGUCCGUAUGGUCCUGCGGGCAGAGAGCAUCUUCUUGCAUAUAACAGAAAAACUGGCACAAAAGAAAAGAACCAUGAGUACGACAGCAUCAAUAUGAUGGGCGUGUAGAGAAGCCUCGAGACACGAGUAGCAGAGUGAGACCGACUGUUCGUAGGAAGGGGCUGGCACAGUGGGUGAAUCCAAUAGCACUUCACAGGUGCGAGAAGACAAUUCCUCCGCUGUGGGGAGAACACACAGCUGUGAAGAAAAUGGCCAAAGAAAUAUGAGCAAAACUUACAAAAGCAGAAAUGCAAAUUACCAAGAAGCAUUUAAAAGCUGCACAAUCUCACAACAGAUCAGGGAACUGCAAUGGAAAACAGUCUGAUUUUUUUCCCAUUAGAUUAGAAGAAAUGAAAACGUUUAAUGUCAAACAUUAGAGGAAAUUGGUGCAUAAAUGGUUUUUUAAAAAGUCAGAAUUCGUCAUCUCAAAAUAAAUUCAUCAAAUUGAUUACAUUAAAAUUGCACUGACUCUGUGAUGCAUCAGUUUCUUUUCUCAGCAUUUACCCUAGGGAAGAAUGGACGAUGAGCAGGGGAUGAUGAGCAGGGAAGCAGCUGAAACAUUGGCAAGGCAGAGACCACGGCAGAGGCCACGUCAGAGACCACAGUGGAGGCCAUGUCAGAGACCAUGGCAGACGUCAUGACAGAGGUCAUGCCAGAGAUCCCCUGGGAGCAGAGGGAGUGCCCACCCGCAGGACGUGGGGGAGCAAG
rnacentral:lncRNA from 10 species